UACGGGGGGUGCAAGCGUUGUUCGGAAUUAUUGGGCGUAAAGAGCGUGUAGGCGGCAAGAUAAGUCAGAUGUGAAAGCCCUGGGCUCAACUCAGGAAGUGCAUUUGAUACUGUCUCGCUUGAGUACUGGAGAGGGAAGAGGAAUUCCUGGUGUAGAGGUGAAAUUCGUAGAUAUCAGGAGGAACACCGGUGGCGAAGGCGACUUCCUGGCCAGAUACUGACGCUGAGACGCGAGAGCGUGGGGAGCAAACAGG
rnacentral:rRNA from 1 species